rnacentral:rRNA from 1 species
AGCAGCCGCGGUAAUUCCAGCUCCAAUAGCGUAUAUUAAAGUUGUUGCAGUUAAAAGCUCGUGGUUGAAUUUCGGGAUUGACACAUCGGUCGUGCCUUAAGGGGUAUGAACUGGUGUAGUCAAUUUCUCACCUUCUGGAGAACCGCAAUGCCCUUAAUUGGGUGUCGCGGGGAACCAGGACCUUUACUUUGAAAAAAUUAGAGUGUUUAAAGCAGGCAUUUUGCUUGAAUACAUUAGCAUGGAAUAAUAAAAUAGGACGGCAUGAUUCUAUUUUGUUGGUUUCUAGGAUCACCGUAAUGAUUAAUAGGGAUAGUUGGGGGCAUUAGUAUUCAAUUGUCAGAGGUGAAAUUCUUGGAUUUAUUGAAGACUAACUACUGCGAAAGCAUUUGCCAAGGAUGUUUUUCAUUAAUCAAGAACGAAAGUUAGGGGAUCGAAGACGAUCAGAUACCGUCGUAGUCUUAACCAUAAACUAUGUCGACUAGGAAUCAGACGAUGUUAAUUUUUUAAUGACUCGUUUGGC